UACGUAGGGUGCAAGCGUUAAUCGGAAUUACUGGGCGUAAAGGGCGCGUAGGCGGCGGGUCAAGUCGAGUGUGAAAGCCCCGGGCUCAACCUGGGAGGUGCGCUCGAGACUGGUCUGCUAGAGUUCGGGAGAGGGAGCGUGGAAUUCCUAGUGUAGAGGUGAAAUUCGUAGAUAUUAGGAAGAACACCAGUGGCGAAGGCGGCUCACUGGCC
rnacentral:rRNA from 1 species